UAAGCGGAGGAAAAGAAACUAACAAGGAUUCCCUUAGUAACGGCGAGUGAAGUGGGAAAAAGCUCAAAUUUUAAAUCACCAAGGUUUCUUUGGUGAAUUGUAAUUUGAAGAAAGUGUUUUGAUAUUCGGGUUUUAUCUAAAUCCUUUGGGAUAAGGUAUCAUAGAGGGUGAGAAUCCCGUCCAUGAUUAAACCUUGAUGUCACCUAAUUCACUUUCCAAGAGUCGAGUUGUUUGGGAUUGCAGCUCAAAAUGGGUGGUAAAUUUCACCUAAGGCUAAAUAUAUGCAAGAGACCGAUAGCGAACAAGUACCGUGAGGGAAAGAUGAAAAGAACUUUGAAAAGAGAGUUAAAUAGUACGUGAAAUUGUUGAAAGGGAAACGAUUAAAGUCAGUCAUGCUAGUGAGGAAUCAACUUGAUGGAUCGUAUCUUAUGAUCUUUCUGGUGCACUUUCUUGCUUGGUAGGUUAGCAUCAAUUUCGGGUAUCAUUAAAAAAUUCGAGGGAAUGUAGCUUUCUUUCGGGAAAGUGUUAUAGACUUCGAUAGAAUGUGGUGACCGAGAUUGAGGAUUGCAGCGGAUACCCUUUUGGGCUAGUCACCUGGCUUCUGAUGGUUGCCCCGUCUUCGAUAGCUUGCUAACGGUUGGUGGGAUUCAAUUAUCUAGAUGUUGGAGUGAUCAUAAAUUCGCUAAGGAUGCUGACGUAAUGGCUUUAAACGACCCGUCUUGAAACACGGACCAAGGAGUCUAACAUGUGUGCGAGUGUU
rnacentral:rRNA from 1 species